GCCCCUAUAGCUUAAUGGAUAAAGCAAUGCUCUUCUAAGGCAUUGAUCCAGGUUCAACUCCUGGUAGGGGUA
rnacentral:tRNA from 1 species